AAACAAAGUUGGUUUGGUCUCUCUAGCUUGAACGGUCCAAGAGAUAACAUUUGACCGGUUAAUUUACAUAAAUGAAAAAAGACAUUUGGGAUAGCCUAAACAUGUGAAACAAAGUUAGUUUGAUUUCUCUACCUGAAGUAAAUAAAGAUACAGAUAGCUAGAAAACCUAUCUACACAAUAAUACCAAAGUCAGUAUCAACAUGUGAAGUGGUUAUAUUGUUGUAAAAUCACAACCAACUGCUUCUACCUAAAGUCAGGUUGAAAAGGUCCAAGCGAUGCUGCAUGUCUGCUAGUAGUAAGACUCAGCAAGAGAUGCAACACCUGCUUUGUGUCAUGAUAGUUGGAAGAGUCAUCUGACAGUAAAAUGUGUUCUUUAAGGACCUUUUUGUGAUAUGUAUACAUAUUUAUUUGAUGAAGUAGAUGGAUGGAUGUGCUCUUGACAAUUAUGCUCACGCCAUUUACUGGCUGAUUUUGUUUUGAAUGUGGUUUGAAAUGUAAUAGUAUGUUGUCUCCAUCUACAUUGAUCAGGAUAUGCAGCUAUGACGGGUUAUUGCAUGUUCUCCUGAUUUAACAGAUGGACCACUUAGAAUUUUCAUGUAGUUAGUGUCUAAAAUAUGCCCAUUACCAGCCUUUUACAUAUCUAUUUAUAACCCAAUGACAUCCUGCAGGCGUGACACUUGACUUUCUCUAAGCUCUGUUGGAUUUCUGUAUUGGUGAUGCGUCUUUCAUUUGACAUCUUAGUCAUUUAGCAGACAGUCUUAUCCAGGGGGUCUAACUGAGCUUUCCGUGCCACUAACUACAGCGACCACAAAAUCAGGCCUAUGUCUGACCGGCCUCGUGCAGAUUGUUUACGCCCUUAGGUUGUAUGGUUCAAUUAGGUUUAAUGAAUCUCUGAUAAUCAUUAUCACAGAGAAUCUUCUCUCUGGGCUGCCAACAGGGAGGGGAAUGAGCGUGAUGUGAUCUGAUGAACAGAGAGGUGGCCUGGCCACUCACAACAUUCACAGGAGCUGUGUGGGAGACUACUACAGAUCUACUAGAGAUAUGUAGAAUAUGAAGAUGGAGGAAGGCUUAGGUUUACAGUGAAUGAGGCCCAAUGAGUAUGGAAAGCUGUAGGAAACAGUCUAAAACAGUAGGGCUUUAAGAGGAGCAGCAUGGAGCCCUUAAAUACCCUGUUCAUGUAGUUUAUUGCUGGGAGACGGACACAACAACCAGCUUCAUUGUCUCUCUUUCCCUCACUCUCCUAUUCUCUUUCUUAAUCUCUGUCUCUCUAUCUCGCUCUCUCAUACACACAUAUACACACAUAAACACAUAUAGCCUCUUAAACAUAUACUUUAUGUGAUUCACACUCACUUCCCUGUAACGUGGUAUUGUCUGUUGUUUUAUAUUGUCCAUCUAUGCUGUUUCCUAUCAUCCAUCUAUUCUGUUUUAUAUCAUCCAUCUAUGCUGUUUCAUAUCAUCCAUCUGUUCUGUUUCAUAUCAUCCAUCUUUUCUGUCUGUUCUGUUUUAUAUCAUCCAUCUGUUCUGUUUUAUAUCAUCCAUCUGUUCUGUUUUAUAUCAUCCAUCUGUUCUGUUUUAUAUCAUCCAUCUGUUCUGUUUUAUAUCAUCCAUCUGUUCUGUUUUAUAUCAUCCAUCUGUUCUGUUUUAUAUCAUCCAUCUGUUCUGUGUUAUAUCAUCCAUCUGUUCUGUGUUAUAUCAUCCAUCUGUUCUGUUUCAUAUCAUCCAUCUGUUCUGUUUCAUAUCAUCCAUCUGUUCUGUUUUAUAUCAUCCAUCUGUUCUGUUUCAUAUCCUCCCUCCAUUCUGUCUGUCCUGUUUCAUGUCAUUCAUCUCUUCUCUUAUGUUUCAUAUCAUCAGUCUGUUCUGUUUCAUAUCAUACAUCCAUUCUCUCCUGUUUCAUGUCAUCCAUCUGUUCUCUUAUUUCAUACCAUCAGUCUGUUCUGUUCCAUAUAAUCUGUCUUUUCUGUUUCAUAUAAUCUGUCUGUUCUGUUUCAUAUCAUCAGUCUGUUCUGUUUCAUAUCAUCAGUCUGUUCUGUUUCAUAUCAUCAGUCUGUUCUGUUGUUUCAUAUCAUCAGUCUGUUCUGUUGUUUCAUAUCAUCAGUCUGUUUUCUGUUGUUUCAUAUCAUCAGUCUGUUUUCUGUUGUUUCAUAUCAUCAGUCUGUUUUCUGUUGUUUCAUAUCAUCAGUCUGUUCUGUUUCAUAUCAUCAGUCUGUUCUGUUGUUUUAUAUCAUCAGUCUGUUCUGUUGUUUCAUAUCAUCAGUCUGUUUUCUGUUCUAGACCGGUCUCAGCAUCUGUUUUCUGUUAUUUCAUAUCAUCAGUCUGUUUUCUGUUCUAGACCAGUCUCAGCAUCUGUUUUCUGUUGUUUCAUAUCAUCAGUCUGUUUUCUGUUGUUUCAUAUCAUCAGUCUGUUCUGUUUCAUAUCAUCAGUCUGUUCUGUUGUUUCAUAUCAUCAGUCUGUUUUCUGUUCUAGACCAGUCUCAGCAUCUGUUUUCUGUUGUUUCAUAUCAUCAGUCUGUUUUCUGUUGUUUCAUAUCAUCAGUCUGUUCUGUUUCAUAUCAUCAGUCUGUUCUGUUGUUUCAUAUCAUCAGUCUGUUUUCUGUUCUAGACCAGUCUCAGCAUCUGUUUUCUGUUGUUUCAUAUCAUCAGUCUGUUUUCUGUUCUAGACCAGUCCCAGGAAGAGAGAUCCAACUCUGUUGCCGUGGCAGGAGCAGUGAUGGGGGCAGUCCUUGCCCUUUUCCUCAUAGCCGUCUUCACCAUCGUCAUCCUCACAGCACGGAAGACCUCUCCCCCAGCGUACACAGACAAAGUGAUUGAUCUACCUCCGACACACAAGCCCCCCCCUCCGUACAUAGAGAGACCCCCAGCCAUCCCUCUAGCUGUUCACGCACCACAGGUGGCCUCCCUGUCACAGGCUCGCAGGGCUGAGCGGCGCUUUGAGAUGGCCGAGAAAACCCCCGCCAGGCUCAUGCACCGGGAACCCCAAAGCCCCUCCCACCAGCCUCUGUCCUAUCAGGAGUGGGUCUGUCACCAAAAUGGGGCGGAUCGCGUCUACAUCAACCACCGGGAACACUAUGUUUAAAGGGGCAUAUUCUGAUCCUUGGACCUGUUAAUCAAUGACUUACACCACCCCAAACCAACCCCACAGAGGCUCAGGGUGGACAGCCUUUUCAGACACAGCUCAUGAUUUGACCAAGCCUUCCUAAAUGAGAGUCUACUCCACGUUUAAACUCCUUUGAGAGCAGCAGUUACCGCCUGCAAGAAGCAAGACUAAUGAGGCUGAAGCAUAAACUGCUAAGUGUCUCUGAGGAACAACCAACCCAGACACCUCCUCCACUCUCCUCCCCUGAACCACCACACACUUGUUCUGUUCCCAACCACAUCAAGGAACAGGAUAACAGCAGAGGAGGAGGAAGACACAUUGGGACAGUACCACACAAGAAGUUAAAACAGCACACUAAGCUCUUGUGUAGUGUACUGAAAUUGAAUAAUAUGAAAACACUGUGCUCUAUCAUGGAUAGAAGAGAUGUGUAUAACUAUGUCACAGUUGCUAUGGUGAUAUUAUAGUGAUGGCAUAAUCCUGUGUACUGUUAUGCUCUUUAAAUUAGAAUUAGAAAGAAAUUAUUUAAAUACCAGACAUAUCUCUGGCUCUGGUAAACAAGCAGUGUUACCACAGCAUUUACAGUGUAAUAUCAAGCAUUACAUUAAUUAUAGUAGAUAGUAACAUAUAAUGUAAUCCAGUCAUACUCUAUUGUGUCAUAUGUUCAGAUAAGAUGAAUGUAGGGUAGUUCAGGGGCUUUGAGAAGUCAACUGAAUCAUAGACAAGGGGAAUGAACCAUGUGGACUGUUCUUUUGUCUGUUGAGAAAAGCAUAUUUUUAUUAUUUCAUUGUGUAUAACACAUUUUCCAACUUUUUUGUGCCAUUUUAAUAUUUGAAAGGAGAUGCUCUCAACAGUAGAUAUGCUUUUUUAUUCUAAUUAUUCUGUUCAGUAGAUAAUAGAUGCAGUUUUAAAUAUUAAACUAGGUUUGUUACAAACGGGUCAGUGUUAUUUUUUUUUUUUUUUUUUUUACCAUAAUAUUUAUACAGUAGGGAUGGCUAUUGUGUUUGUAUGACAACAUCAUCAUAUAGUCAAAUAAAAUGGCAGUUGCAGCCCUACAGGCAUCUGUUAAGGUCCCGAGCCCCAUAUACUGUGUGUUAAUGAGCUACGCUUGUGUAGCUUUUCUCUCCUGGCCAGGCAGGCUAGGGACCAAGGCUCUAGCUGAGCUCUAAACCACAAAAAGGCCUUUGUUUGUUUCCCUGUCAUUGGUGAAUAAGC
ensembl:lncRNA